rnacentral:rRNA from 1 species
CGCUAUCACUCCUACGGGAGGCAGCAGUGGGGAAUCUUGCGCAAUGGGCGAAAGCCUGACGCAGCCAUGCCGCGUGAAUGAUGAAGGUCUUAGGAUUGUAAAAUUCUUUCACCGGGGACGAUAAUGACGGUACCCGGAGAAGAAGCCCCGGCUAACUUCGUGCCAGCAGCCGCGGUAAUACGAAGGGGCUAGCGUUGCUCGGAAUUACUGGGCGUAAAGGGAGCGUAGGCGGACAUUUAAGUCAGGGGUGAAAUCCCCGGGGCUCAACCUCGGAAUUGCCUUUGAUACUGGAUGUCUUGAGUGUGAGAGAGGUAUGUGGAACUCCGAGUGUAGAGGUGAAAUUCGUAGAUAUUCGGAAGAACACCAGUGGCGAAGGCGACAUACUGGCUCAUUACUGACGCUGAGGCUCGAAAGCGUGGGGAGCAAACAGGAUUAGAUACCCUGGUAG